GUGUGAUUGAAGGUGGAUUAAAUAUCACUCUCACCAUCCGACUACUUAUGCAUGGAAAGGAAGUUGGCAGUAUCAUCGGAAAGAAAGGAGAAUCAGUUAAGAAGAUGCGCGAGGAGAGUGGUGCACCUAUCAACAUCUCAGAAGGGAAUUGUCCUGAGAGAAUUAUCACUUUUGCUGGACCUGCUAAUGCCGUCUUCAAAGGCUUUGCUAUGAUCAUUGACAAACUGGAAGAGGACAUAAGCAGCUCUAUGACCAGUAGCACAGCUGCCACUAGACCCCCAGUCACCCUGAGGCUGGUGGUCCCUGCUAGUCAGUGUGGCUCUCUCAUUGGAAAAGGUGGUUGCAAGAUCAAGGAAAUACGAGAGAGUACAGGGGCUCAGGUCUAGAUGGCAGGGGAUAUGCUACCCAACUCAACUGAGCAGGCCAUCACUAUUGCUGGCAUCCCACAAUCCAUCAUUGAGUGUGUCAAACAGAUCUGUGUGGUCAUGUUGGAGUCCCCCCCGAAGGGCGUGACCAUCCCGUACCAGCUCAAGCCUUCCAGCUCUCCGGUCAUCUUUGCAGGCGGUCAGGCCUAUACCCUUCAAGGACAGUUUGCCAUUCCACAGCCAGAUUUGACCAUGCUGCACCAGUUGGCAAUGCAACAGUCUCAUUUUCCCAUGACGCAUGGCAACACUGGAUUCAGUGCAGGUUUGGAUACAUCUGCUCAGACUACUUCUCAUGAACUUACCAUUCCAAACGAUUUGAUUGGCUGCAUAAUCGGGCGUCAAGGCGCCAAAAUAAAUGAGAUCCGUCAGAUGUCUGGGGCACAGAUCAAAAUUGCGAACCCAGUGGAAGGAUCUACUGAUAGGCAGGUUACCAUCACUGGAUCUGCUGCCAGCAUUAGCCUGGCUCAAUAUCUAAUCAAUGUCAGGCUUUCCUCGGAGACGGGUGGCAUGGGGAGCAGCUAGAACAAUGCAGAUUUAUCCACAAUCCCUUUCUGCUGUUCACCACCACCCAUGAUCCAUCUGUGUAGUUUCUGAACAGUCAGCGAUUUCAGGUUUUAAAUAGUUUGUAAAUUUUCAGUUUCUACACACUUUAUCAUCCACUCGUGAUU
rnacentral:lncRNA from 1 species